UAACGCGUGAGGAACCUGCCUUGAAGAGGGGGGAAACAGUUGGAAACGACUGCUAAUACCGCAUGAAGCAUAGGGGUCGCAUGAUUCUUAUGCCAAAGAUUUAUCGCUUCAAGAUGGCCUCGCGUCUGAUUAGCUGGUUGGCGGGGUAACGGCCCACCAAGGCGACGAUCAGUAGCCGGACUGAGAGGUUGAACGGCCACAUUGGGACUGAGAUACGGCCCAG
rnacentral:rRNA from 1 species